GACAUAGGUGGCGAACGUUAUCCGGAAUUAUUGGGCGUAAAGGAUGCGUAGAUGGUGUAGUAAGUUAUCGGUGGUAAAUCGAGGCUCAACCUCGUGGAAGUCGGUAAUACUGCUAUGCUAGAGGAUAGGAGAGGUUAACGGAACUCCCUGUGGAGCGGUGAAAUGCGUUGAGAUCGGAAGGAACGCCCGUGGCGAAAGCGAGGUCCUGGACGUCUGCUGACGCUGAGACGCGAAAGCCAGGGGAGCGAACGGG
rnacentral:rRNA from 1 species